rnacentral:rRNA from 1 species
UCAGAUUGAACGCUGGCGGAAUGCUUUACACAUGCAAGUCGAACGGCAGCACGGGGGCAACCUGGUGGCGAGUGGCGAACGGGUGAGUAAUACAUCGGAACGUGCCCAAUCGUGGGGGAUAACGUAGCGAAAGUUACGCUAAUACCGCAUACGAUCUACGGAUGAAAGCGGGGGAUCGCAAGACCUCGCGCGAGUGGAGCGGCCGAUGUCAGAUUAGGUAGUUGGUGGGGUAAAGGCUCACCAAGCCAACGAUCUGUAGCUGGUCUGAGAGGACGACCAGCCACACUGGAACUGAGACACGGUCCAGACUCCUACGGGAGGCAGCAGUGGGGAAUUUUGGACAAUGGGCGCAAGCCUGAUCCAGCCAUUCCGCGUGCAGGAUGAAGGCCUUCGGGUUGUAAACUGCUUUUGUACGGAACGAAACGGCGAGCUCUAAUACAGUUUGCUAAUGACGGUACCGUAAGAAUAAGCACCGGCUAACUACGUG